rnacentral:snRNA from 1 species
GUAGACCUAAUGAUUUACCUAAUGAUUUGGAAAGAAGAAUAGCACGGCCCCUGCACAAGGAUGACAUGCAAAUUCUUGAAGUGCUCCAUAUUUUU